AGAGUUUGAUCCUGGCUCAGAUGAAUGCUGGCGGCGUGCCUAAUAUCUGCAAGUCGAGCGGUAAGGCCCUUAGGGGUACACGAGCGGCGGACGGCUGAGUAACGCGUAGGAACAUGCCCCAAAGUGAGGGAUAAGCACCGGAAACGGUGUCUAAUACCGCAUAUGGUCUUCGGAUUAAAGGAUUUAUCCGCUUUGGGAGUGGCCUGCGUAUGAUUAGAUUGUUGGUGAGGUAAUGGCUCACCAAGUCCACGAUCAUUAACUGGUCUGAGAGGAUGAUCAGUCAGACUGGAACUGAGACACGGUCCAGACUCCUACGGGAGGCAGCAGUAAGGAAUCUUCCACAAUGGGGGCAACCCUGAUGGAGCAACGCCGCGUGCAGGAUGAAGGCCUUCGGGUCGUAAACUGCUUUUAUGAGUGAAGAAUAUGACGGUAACUCAUGAAUAAGCACCGGCUAACUACGUGCCAGCAGCCGCGGUCAUACGUAGGGUGCAAGCAUUAUCCGGAGUGACUGGGCGUAAAGAGUUGCGUAGGUGGUUAGUAAAGUGAAUAGUGAAACCUGGUGGCUCAACCAUACAGACUAUUAUUCAAACUCACUAACUCGAGAG
rnacentral:rRNA from 1 species